CCGCGGGCAGAGCCGGGCUGCGCAGGCGCACGAGUGGCGCCGGAGCGCGCGCAGUGGGUGGGGCGGGCCCGGCGUCGCGCGCCUUCCUGCCCGCACUGCAUCCCUGCCCCCACAGCGCCCGCGGGCUCGGCGGCGGCUUGGACUGCCCGGCUCGGUCCCGCUGGGCUUGCCGGAGUCCAGCCGCGGAGCUGUGGUCUGUGAGGGACGACAGGGCCUGGGACCGGGGAGUGCGGGGUUUGCAGGUUUCCUGCUAGUGCACCUGGGAAAACAGCGGAUCAUGGUCCUGGUGUUUGAAUUUCUGCUUCUCGCUGGGAGACCCAGAUGGAGUUCAUGGCACCUAGCUUCAGCUGUUGUACCUGAAUAAGGAAUGGACCAGCAAAUGGAAGCUUUUUCUCUCACCCUUUUCUCCAUCAUCCUGCCUUUCAAAUACACAAGGUCUGGCACUUGCCCUCCUUUCAGCGGGAACCCUGCUUCCCAUUUUCCCAUUGGCUAACUCCUCCUCACCUCUCAGAUCUCACCUGAGGAUUCCCAGGGGUGUAGAUUUUUGAAAGUUUCAGGAUGACUGAUGAACAGUAUUUGUGUAAGUUAAUUUCUUGCAUUACUUAAUUGCCACAUUAGGUCUUUCUCACCACGUCUUCCCCCACCCUUCUGUCUCUCCCUUUCUCCUCACUAUCAAACUCG